rnacentral:rRNA from 1 species
AUCUACGGCCAUACCACCCUGAACAAGCCCGAUGUCUGAUCUCAGAAGCUAAGCAGGGUCGGGCCUGGUUAGUACUUGGAUGGGAGACCACCUAGGAAGAUCAGGUGCUGUAGGCA